CUAUAAUACAAUCCAGGGACAACAUGGUAGGCCAGCAUGUCUGUUGAGAUCACAAUAAAGAAACAAAUAAUGAAAUAUUAAAGAAUUCAUUUAUUAUUUUUGUAUCACGUUCUCAUAUUUAACUGGAAACGCUUUCCCGCUGAGGCUGCCCCUAAUGAAACCACAAAUGGACAACUCUGUGAUAAAAUCCAAAAAUAGGAUGUGGUCGCUUUCAAGAAAAAGUCACGAAAUGGUGCAAGGAAAUUGAAUACAAUAUUGUAUUAUACACUCAAACAUCUCAAAACUUGCAGUAACGGACCAAUUGUUCGCAAAUGACACCAGAAAUCGCUUAAAAAGGAGUUCUUUCUGUCACGUUCAAAAGUCUCUUUGCAACUUUUGAGAGUUUUGAGUGUAUUUAAAGAUCGUAAAUAUAAAUUACAAAAUUGUGAAUUAAUCAGAUGAAUUGAUGAGGAAAUUGGCGACGGAAGAAUAAAAUAGUCGUUAAAAUCCAACUAGUUCAGAUUUAUAAUGAACUCGGAUCAGUAUUAAAUCACGAUAAUAGUCCAGAAAUGGAUAUUUGACAAGAGCAACUGAUUUCGUGAUUCAGUCCUCGUUACUUGGCCUUAUACAUGAAUUGUGGUGAGAAAUGACUUUCGCUUGCAUUUUAACUAAAUUACAUCCUUUAGGUACACAAAUAGUUUGCCUUCAGGGUAACAUCCUGUGAUUUGGAAAGUCAUAACAGUUUUGAUGAUAACUCAAAACCAUCUUCAAUUGUCCCUUCAUCAUCUACCUUCUCUCUCCCCCUCUUCUCUCCAUCUCAUUUCUAAUUGUUUUCCCCUUUCUUCUUGCCAUCUUCAUACUUUUUUGCUGUCUAUUGUUAUUUGUCUCAUCUUUUUCUCAGGACUAUCGGAAGUUGUCUUUCUCACACAAAACUGCAACUUAUUGUAAUCAAGGUUUGUUUUGAUUCAACAAAUAUGUAUAUUAAUAGGAAACACUGUUAUUCAACAACAAUCAACUUACAGUAUUUCAAAUUGUAUGUUUCUUCAUAUUCUCAUCCAUUGUUUAACAAACUCUCUCAAUCACAUGACACUGAAUCAUGAAUUGAAUUGUAGAUGGAUUAUGGGAAAAAGAUCUAAAAAAGGAUUUAGAGAAGAAAUGGAAUUUACAGUUCUUCAACUUCACUUCAGUUGUACAAGUUUCUUACUUGAGGAUAUUCAAUUUAAACAAAAGGAUUCAAUAGUGGUAAAGGGAAUAUCAACUCUCACAACAAUCAAGAAUGGACUAUUUGCAUGAAGUGGCCUACUGCCACUACUACCAACAUGACAGUGAAUCAUUUACUCGAUUUUGCCGAAACUAUUUUUCGGGAAAAAUGGGCUACCUGAUCUAUUGAAAGGAAAAGAGCUAAAAAAGUAUCAUUUUAUUAGCGAAAAUUAAAUUGCACGAUUUAUUCUUGAACUUUGGACGCUUCUGGAUUUGGCAAAAUUUAAUUUGAGCUGUUAAUAUAUUCAAUUUAAACAAGUGGAAAAUAUGGAUUCAAAAGAAUCGUCUUUCACGAUCAACAUUGAUUGUUCACGAAUGUUCAUCUGCUACUAAAAAUAUUGAUCUAACCUUUAAAGGGAUGAAAAACGGUUUACAUCAAAAGCUUGGUCAAUAUACGCCAUUUUACUGCUUCUUACCAUAAUCGUUGUUUAACUGAAUCCGGAGCCCUGCAUAUCAAUUGUCAUUUUAUUAUUUCUCACUUUCUGUAGGUCAAUCAGCAAAAGUGAUGUACUAUUGGUUUGGACGUACACUGUAUUAAUAGAGGUAGCAGCGAUGAAGACAAUGAAAAGCUCAACCCCUAAUCCACAAUCAAGUGAAUUAAAUUUAAUCUAUUUUGAAGGAUGAAAUCAAAAUGCCAUAAAUAUCAACCUGUUGAAUGUUUAAUCCCUUUUGUUACUUGUGCACCAUAAUUGUUGAUUGGACUUGUUAAAGAACAGAUUUUAAACUCAAAAUCUUUUAUUAUCCUGUAUUUACUCACUAUAAAUUGGGAUGAUUUAAAUAAUCUGAUUAACUGGACAUUAGAAUGGCAUUGUUGGUCAAUGUACUCGAUUACAGUCAAUAGUCAACCAGUUAACCAAGAAACCAGGAUUAACAUUGAAAGGAGAAAGCAUAAAAACAUGAUAACUUUUGAUUUUCAAAUCAUUUGAUUGAGUCAAGAGGCUUCUUCAUACAAACUUGAAGCUAAAUUUACAUUAAGCAUCAUUUUUAAUGGUAGUUAUGAUUUCCCUAAUUACAUUUUAAGAAACUCCUUAAUUACAAUUCUUUUGUAUUGAAGAUCAUCUUUUUCAUCAUCAUCUACCCGAUGAGGCUUAAUAACCUAUUGAGCUUUUAUCCUCUUAUCCUUAAUUAUUUGCAACUACAAAUAUUUCAACUGAUAUUAUUUAAAUGUUUGUAUAUUUGUUUCCUUGGCCAACCCUUAAGACCAACUAAGCCAAAAUUAGACGUAAUUUUGAUGAAAAUUUAAUGUAAUCAGACAAAUCAACUGUUAAUCAACAUUUCUCAAACAUUUGAAAUGAAAAACAACAAAAAGUAUUCAAACGUUUGCUGGAACUUGAACAGAUAUAAAUUAAUCUGCCUACAAUCAAAUUACAGUAAAAUUGAGUUUUCAUUGAUGAUAAUUCAUCAGUAUAAAUGUAAUUCAUAACAUUGGAAAAAAUCUUUCCCAAUAUUAAUGAGUAAAAACAAAAAAAGAGUUAAAAAUUAAUUUUAAGUUGAUUACUUGCAGUCAGGAGUUAAAGGAUGAAAUGUUAAUCAAAAAAUUAAAAUAAUUUCCACCCUUACAAUUCAAUUCAUUUGUGAAAAUGCUAACAAUUCAACUUGAUCUACCUACUUGUAACAGAUGAAUUUACAGUCCAGUAAACAUUUCAAUAUUUACUGAACAUAAACUGUAAUCAGAUCAACUAUUAAUAAUGAUAACCAUUAUAAUAACAAUGAAAUUUUGAUGAUAGAGAAGAGGAUACAAGAAAUAAUAAUAAUCAUAAUAAUGACAAUGAAUGGUAAAUCAUCUUCAAUGGAAACUCAAAUGAUAGAUUUAAUAUUUAGGGGCCUUAAAAGUUACCAAACAAUCUAUUUAUAUCAACAAUCUAAUUGUAAAAAGUAAAUUUUCGAUUAACUUUACAAAUUAACAUUUUCCCAUUUGAUAAACCUUUUAUAUGAUCAAAUGUUUAGGUAACCAUUUAAAUAAUUUAUUUAACCCUAUCAAAUUGCCAAUGUUUAGAUGAUGAAUGAUGAAAAUGAUGAUCAAUUGAAUCUCGAUAUAACCAGGUUUAGUCUUUCUUGUCAUAAAACCCAAAUCUGGUUCAUUUCGUGCAAUAUUGCUGAGAUUAUUGUCAAAAUUGGGUGAUAUUUUAACUCUUUACCCAUAAUAACACCAAAUCAACAUCAAUCAUGAUGUGAGAAGCUUUAUUUUACUGAUAAUCGUCUAGAGAUUUUUUUCCUUAAAGUAUAUUUUAUCCUCAUCAUUCACCUUAACAUCACAAUUUUUUCCUACUUUGAUGUUUUCAUCAGCUUGUUUAUGUUGGCGUUUUAAGCCGUGAAUCAGAUCAACACUUUAAUCUAUUGAUGAGAAAACUUGUUGAAUCAUGAUUAUCCGAUUAACCAAUAUAAUCAUUAUUCUCACCUUGAUAAAAAUAAAGAACUCAUGAACGUGACAAGGGAAUGAUAAUGGUGAUGAUUUGUAUCUGAAAAUGAAACCAUCAAUGGAAACCUUUUCCAGCAAGUUGGAUGAUGUGAAAAAUGAGAAAAAAAUGUUAAAACUGUCAAUCAACAAGUGAUGAUGUUGAUAAAACAUUAUUAUUAUACUUAUAAUAAUAAUAAACAUCAACAUCAUUAAAACUGAGCAUCUUUUCCUUUCUAUUGAUGAUCAAUUCAUCUCCUACUAAUAUCAUGUUAUUUUGACGUCUAUGAGUCUGUUUAAUUAUACAAUGUCAGUAAGCUUUAACGAACAGGAUAAAGAAAGCUUCUUGUAUAAUCUUUUACUAUUGGAUUAUUGUUAAAGCUGUCAUAUUGCUUCUUACAAGUUGCAAAUCUUUUUCAGGAAUCUUUUGAAGAGCCUCAUUGCUUGGAACAAAAACCGUGUAAGGUCCACCUAAUAAAGGAUAAUAAUCAAGAAUGGAAAAUCAAAAAUUAAGGACGAUAUUAAUACUGGCCAAAAAUGUGAGGCUAACCUGGAUCUGGUUAAGCGUCAACAAUGAUCAAUGGAGAAAGUCAAGGCCAAUAAGGAAAUCGAUUUGAAACAAUGGAUUUCGGAACUGAAAGGAACCGAAAGGAAAAGAGUUUAAA